GGCGGCAUGCUAUACAUGCAAGUCGAACGCUUCUUUCCUCCCGAGUGCUUGCACUCAAUUGGAAAGAGGAGUGGCGGACGGGUGAGUAACACGUGGGUAACCUACCCAUCAGAGGGGGAUAACACUUGGAAACAGGUGCUAAUACCGCAUAACAGUUUAUGCCGCAUGGCAUAAGAGUGAAAGGCGCUUUCGGGUGUCGCUGAUGGAUGGACCCGCGGUGCAUUAGCUAGUUGGUGAGGUAACGGCUCACCAAGGCCACGAUGCAUAGCCGACCUGAGAGGGUGAUCGGCCACACUGGGACUGAGACACGGCCCAGACUCCUACGGGAGGCAGCAGUAGGGAAUCUUCGGCAAUGGACGAAAGUCUGACCGAGCAACGCCGCGUGAGUGAAGAAGGUUUUCGGAUCGUAAAACUCUGUUGUUAGAGAAGAACAAGGACGUUAGUAACUGAACGUCCCCUGACGGUAUCUAACCAGAAAGCCACGGCUAACUACGUGCCAGCAGCCGCGGUAAUACGUAGGUGGCAAGCGUUGUCCGGAUUUAUUGGGCGUAAAGCGAGCGCAGGCGGUUUCUUAAGUCUGAUGUGAAAGCCCCCGGCUCAACCGGGGAGGGUCAUUGGAAACUGGGAGACUUGAGUGCAGAAGAGGAGAGUGGAAUUCCAUGUGUAGCGGUGAAAUGCGUAGAUAUAUGGAGGAACACCAGUGGCGAAGGCGGCUCUCUGGUCUGUAACUGACGCUGAGGCUCGAAAGCGUGGGGGAA
rnacentral:rRNA from 1 species